rnacentral:rRNA from 1 species
UUGAACGCUGGCGGCAUGCCUUACACAUGCAAGUCGAACGGCAGCACGGGUGCUUGCACCUGGUGGCGAGUGGCGAACGGGUGAGUAAUACAUCGGAACAUGUCCUGUAGUGGGGGAUAGCCCGGCGAAAGCCGGAUUAAUACCGCAUACGAUCUACGGAUGAAAGCGGUGGCCCUUCGGGCCUCGCGCUAUAGGGUUGGCCGAUGGCUGAUUAGCUAGUUGGUGGGGUAAAGGCCUACCAAGGCGACGAUCAGUAGCUGGUCUGAGAGGACGACCAGCCACACUGGGACUGAGACACGGCCCAGACUCCUACGGGAGGCAGCAGUGGGGAAUUUUGGACAAUGGGCGAAAGCCUGAUCCAGCAAUGCCGCGUGUGUGAAGAAGGCCUUCGGGUUGUAAAGCACUUUUGUCCGGAAAGAAAUCCUUGGCCCUAAUACGGUCGGGGGAUGACGGUACCGGAAGAAUAAGCACCGGCUAACUACGUG